rnacentral:rRNA from 1 species
UACGUAGGGUGCGAGCGUUGUCCGGAAUUAUUGGGCGUAAAGAGCUCGUAGGCGGCUUGUCGCGUCGUUCGUGAAAACCCGGGGGCUCAACUCCCGGACUGCGUCUGAAACUGCGAUUCUAGGGACUCGGAGGGGCCGGUGGAAUUCCUGGUGGAGCAGUGAAAUGCGUAGAUAUCCGGAGGAACACCAGUGGCGAAGGCGCCUUCCUGGCCUAAGACUGACGCUGAGGUGCGAAAGCGUGGGGGAGCAAACAGG